rnacentral:rRNA from 1 species
AUGCUGUGCUUGGCCUCGUCGCCGCCUCCUCCCGCCGGCGGGCAUGCCGCCGCCGACCACCACGCGCGCCUGAGGUCCGCGGCCGCGCGCUCCGACCUGCCGGGCGCGCUCGCCGCCUUCGCCGCCAUGUCCACCUCCGCGUCCGCCAGCCCCGUCCUCCGCACCUUCACUUCCCUCCUCAAGCUCUGCGCGGCGCGCGCCGACCUCGCGACCGGCCGCGCCGUCCACGCGCAGCUCGCCGCGCGGGGGCUCUCCGCGGAGUCCCUCGCCGCCACGGCGCUGGCCAACAUGUACGCCAAGUGCCGCCGGCCGGGCGACGCGCGCAGGGUGUUCGACCGUAUGCCCGUGCGGGACCGCGUCGCCUGGAACGCGCUCGUGGCCGGGUACGCGCGGAACGGGCUCGCCGGGGCCGCCAUGGAGAUGGUCGUCCGGAUGCAGGAGGAGGAGGGGGAGCGGCCCGACUCCGUCACGCUCGUGUCUGUGCUGCCCGCCUGCGCCGACGCCCAGGCGCUCGGGGCCUGCCGCGAGGUGCACGGGUUCGCGGUCCGCGCUGGCUUCGACGAGCUCGUCAAUGUCUCCACGGCGAUCCUUGACGUGUACUGCAAGUGCGGGGCGGUUGAGGUUGCCAGGGCUGUCUUUGAUCGGAUGGCGGAUAAGAACUCUGUUUCUUGGAAUGCCAUGAUCAAGGGGUAUGCUGAGAAUGGGGAUGCUACUGAGGCUCUCGCGCUGUUCAAGAGGAUGGUGGGGGAGGGCGUUGAUGUGACGGAUGUAUCUGUGCUGGCAGCAUUGCACGCCUGUGGUGAGCUUGGGUAUCUUGAUGAGGGGAGACGUGUCCAUGAGCUACUCAUGAGAAUUGGGCUGGAGUCAAAUGUGUCGGUGAUGAAUGCGCUGAUCACCAUGUACUCCAAGUGCAAGAGGACCGACCUCGCUGCCCAGGUUUUCGAUGAGGUGCGCUACAAGACACGGAUCUCCUGGAACGCCAUGAUCCUCGGGUGCACACAGAAUGGAAGGUCAGAAGAUGCAGUCAGGCUCUUCUCUAGGAUGCAGCUGAAAAAUGUGAAGCCUGAUUCGUUCACUCUCGUCAGUGUCAUUCCUGCACUUGCCGACAUCUCAGAUCCACUGCAGGCAAGAUGGAUCCAUGGUUACUCUAUCAGGAUGCACCUAGAUCAGGAUGUGUAUGUUCUGACAGCCCUUAUUGACAUGUACGCAAAAUGCGGCCGUGUCAGUAUAGCUAGAAGUCUCUUCAACUCAGCAAGGGAGAGGCAUGUUAUCACAUGGAAUGCGAUGAUCCAUGGGUACGGCUCACAUGGUUUUGGCAAGGUUGCAGUUGAGCUGUUUGAAGAGAUGAAAAGUUCUGGCAGAGUGCCCAACGAGACGACAUUCCUUUCGGUCCUCUCGGCAUGCAGUCAUGCUGGUUUGGUUGAUGAAGGGCGGAAAUAUUUUUCGAGCAUGAAGGAGGACUAUGGGCUUGAACCUGGGAUGGAGCACUAUGGUACCAUCGUGGAUCUUCUUGGCCGAGCUGGGAAGCUAGAUGAAGCAUGGUCUUUUAUCCAAAAGAUGCCUACGGAUCCUGGCAUUAGUGUUUACGGUGCAAUGUUAGGCGCUUGCAAGUUGCACAAGAAUGUGGAAUUGGCAGAAGAAUCAGCGCAGAGGAUCUUUGAGCUAGGGCCAGAUGAAGGUGUGUAUCAUGUCCUCCUAGCUAACAUUUAUGCAAAUGCUUCAAUGUGGAAGGAUGUUGCAAGGGUUAGAACUGCUAUGGAGAAGAAAGGCCUCCAAAAGACUCCUGGAUGGAGUAUUGUGCAGCUCAAGAAUGAGAUUCAUACCUUCUAUUCUGGAAGCACAAAUCACCAGCAGGCAAAGGACGUUUAUGCAAGGUUGGCUAAGCUAAUAGAAGAGAUCAAAGCUGUGGGGUAUAUGCCGGACACUGAUUCUAUACAUGAUGUAGAAGAUGAUGUCAAGGCACAGUUACUCAACACCCACAGCGAGAAACUUGCCAUUGCAUAUGGACUCAUCCGCACAUCCCCUGGUACAACAAUUCAGAUAAAGAAGAACCUCCGCGUCUGUAACGACUGUCACAAUGCAACCAAGUUAAUAUCUCUGGUGACAGGACGGGAAAUAAUCAUGAGAGAUAUUCAACGAUUUCACCAUUUUAAGGAUGGUAAAUGUUCAUGUGGAGACUACUGGUAG